rnacentral:rRNA from 1 species
GGCGACCGGCGCACGGGUGAGUAACGCGUAUCCAACCUACCUUCAAGCAGGGGACAAUCCGUAGAAAUGCGGUCUGAUACCCUAUGUAUUCCAACGAGGUCCUCCGUGUUGGAAGAAAGGUUUAUCCGCUUGUUGAUGGGGAUGCGUCCGAUUAGCUUGUUGGCGGGGCAACGGCCCACCAAGGCAACGAUCGGUAGGGGUUCUGAGAGGAAGGUCCCCCACACUGGAACUGAGACACGGUCCAGACUCC